GACGGAGGAGGCAAGCGUUAUCCGGAAUGAUUGGGCGUAAAGAGUCCGUAGGUGGAACUUCAAGUCUAUUGUUAAAGAGCAAAGCUUAACUUUGUAAAGGCAGUGGAAACUGAAGAACUAGAGAGGGGCAGGGGCAAAGGGAAUUCCUGGUGUAGCGGUGAAAUGCGUAGAGAUCAGGAAGAACACCGGUGGCGAAAGCGCUUUGCUGGGCCCAUUCUGACACUGAGGGACGAAAGCUAGGGGAGCGAAUGGG
rnacentral:rRNA from 1 species